UAGGGAAUCUUCCACAAUGGACGAAAGUCUGAUGGAGCAACGCCGCGUGAGUGAUGAAGGGUUUCGGCUCGUAAAACUCUGUUGUUGGAGAAGAACAGGUGUGAGAGUAACUGUUCACAUCUUGACGGUAUCCAACCAGAAAGCCACGGCUAACUACGUGCCAGCAGCCGCGGUAAUACGUAGGUGGCAAGCGUUGUCCGGAUUUAUUGGGCGUAAAGCGAGCGCAGGCGGUUUCUUAGGUCUGAUGUGAAAGCCUUCGGCUUAACCGGAGAAGUGCAUCGGAAACCAGGAGACUUGAGUGCAGAAGAGGACAGUGGAACUCCAUGUGUAGCGGUGAAAUGCGUAGAUAUAUGGAAGAACACCAGUGGCGAAGGCGGCUGUCUGGUCUGUAACUGACGCUGAGGCUCGAAAGCAUGGGUAGCGAACAGGAUUAGAUACCCUGGUAGUCCAUGCCGUAAACGAUGAGUGCUAAGUGUUGGAGGGUUUCCGCCCUUCAGUGCUGCAGC
rnacentral:rRNA from 1 species